GACGAGCGCUGGCGGCGUGCUUAACACAUGCAAGUCGAACGGAAAGGCCCUGCUUUUGUGGGGUGCUCGAGUGGCGAACGGGUGAGUAACACGUGAGUAACCUGCCCUUGACUUUGGGAUAACUUCAGGAAACUGGGGCUAAUACCGGAUAGGAGCUCCUGCUGCAUGGUGGGGGUUGGAAAGUUUCGGCGGUUGGGGAUGGACUCGCGGCUUAUCAGCUUGUUGGUGGGGUAGUGGCUUACCAAGGCUUUGACGGGUAGCCGGCCUGAGCGGGUGACCGGCCACAUUGGGACUGAGAUACGGCCCAGACUCCUACGGGAGGCAGCAGUGGGGAAUAUUGCACAAUGGGCGGAAGCCUGAUGCAGCAACGCCGCGUGCGGGAUGACGGCCUUCGGGUUGUAAACCGCUUUCGCCUGUGACGAAGCGUGAGUGACGGUAAUGGGUAAAGAAGCACCGGCUAACUACGUG
rnacentral:rRNA from 1 species